AUGUUGGCCGGGCGACGGUUGUCCCGGUUUAAGCGUGUAGGCUGGUUUUCCAGGCAAAUCCGGAAAAUCAAGGCUGAGGCGUGAUGACGAGGCACUACGGUGCUGAAGCAACAAAUGCCCUGCUUCCAGGAAAAGCCUCUAAGCAUCAGGUAACAUCAAAUCGUACCCCAAACCGACACAGGUGGUCAGGUAGAGAAUACCAAGGCGCUUGAGAGAACUCGGGUGAAGGAACUAGGCAAAAUGGUGCCGUAACUUCGGGAGAAGGCACGC
rnacentral:rRNA from 1 species